GACGAACGCUGGCGGCGUGCCUAAUACAUGCAAGUAGGACGCAGUUGCGAACGGGUGAGUAACGCGUAGGUAACUACCUAUUAGAGGGGGAUAACUAUUGGAAACGAUAGCUAAUACCGCAUACUAGUAGAUGGACCUGCGUUGUAUUAGCUAGUAGGUAGGGUAAUGGCCUACCUAGGCAACGAUACAUAGCGGACCGGAGAGGAUGAUCGGCCACACUGGGACUGAGACACGGCCCAGACUCCUACGGGAGGCAGCAGUAGGGAAUCUUCGGCAAUGGGCGCAACCCUGACAGAGCAACGCCGCGUGAGUGAAGAAGGUCUUCGGAUUGUAAAACUCUGUUAUUAGGGAGGCGGUACCUAAUCAGGAAGCCACGGCUAACUACGUGCCAGCAGCCGCGGUAAUUC
rnacentral:rRNA from 1 species